UACGUAGGUGGCAAGCGUUGUCCGGAAUCAUUGGGCGUAAAGGGCGCGUAGGCGGUUAUUUAAGUCAGUUGUGAAAACUUUGGGCUUAACCCAGAAAUUGCAAUUGAAACUGGGUAACUUGAGUGCAGGAGAGGAUAGUGGAAUUCCUAGUGUAGCGGUGAAAUGCGUAGAUAUUAGGAGGAACACCAGUGGCGAAGGCGGCUGUCUGGACUGUAACUGACGCUGAGGCGCGAAAGCGUGGGGAGCAAAC
rnacentral:rRNA from 1 species